rnacentral:rRNA from 1 species
UGAUUGAUGGUGCUUGCACCUGAUUGACGAUGGAUUACCAGUGAGUGGCGGACGGGUGAGUAACACGUAGGUAACCUGCCCCGGAGCGGGGGAUAACAUUUGGAAACAGAUGCUAAUACCGCAUAACAACAAAAGCCACAUGGCUUUUGUUUGAAAGAUGGCUUUGGCUAUCACUCUGGGAUGGACCUGCGGUGCAUUAGCUAGUUGGUAAGGUAACGGCUUACCAAGGCGAUGAUGCAUAGCCGAGUUGAGAGACUGAUCGGCCACAAUGGAACUGAGACACGGUCCAUACUCCUACGGGAGGCAGCAGUAGGGAAUCUUCCACAAUGGGCGCAAGCCUGAUGGAGCAACACCGCGUGAGUGAAGAAGGGUUUCGGCUCGUAAAGCUCUGUUGUUGGAGAAGAACGUGCGUGAGAGUAACUGUUCACGCAGUGACGGUAUCCAACCAGAAAGUCACGGCUAACUACGUGCCAGCAGCCGCGGUAAUACGUAGGUGGCAAGCGUUAUCCGGAUUUAUUGGGCGUAAAGCGAGCGCAGGCGGUUGCUUAGGUCUGAUGUGAAAGCCUUCGGCUUAACCGAAGAAGUGCAUCGGAAACCGGGCGACUUGAGUGCAGAAGAGGACAGUGGAACUCCAUGUGUAGCGGUGGAAUGCGUAGAUAUAUGGAA